CCCUGCAUGCUAAGUACGUGCCGCUAGCUAAACAGCAAAACCUCUUUUUGAGAGAAAUGCAGAUAGCUCAAAGACAGCACAUGUUCUGCAUUUCUACUAUAUGUCCUCCAGCCUCAGCCCACCUGCCCCAAGCAAAGACAACAAUCUUCAUUACGCCUAAUAGCAAGCCAUACCUUCCCAGAAUACCUUCUCGGAAACUCUUGGCCUUGUUUACAGCAUGUAAUACCAGGCACCCAAACAGAUGGUAGCACUUAUUAAAGAUAUUAAAGCAGAAGAAAAGACAGCAGAAAAGGAGGCAACUAUUAGAAAAUACUUUGUGGCAAGGAAAAAAACAUUUUCUAUGUUUUCCCUGCAGCAGGAGCCUGAGUCUCUGAAUUCCAGGCUGAAGGAAAUGCGGGAAGUCUUGCAAUCAACAGCAAACCACAAACCAAUAUUAAAUGAGGGUAAAACGCCAUCCUCACCCUCAGCAGCAUUAUCAUGGCUCAGAUCAAAACCUCAAUUUAAAACCUCAUACGGAAAAGGCAGAUAGAAAUGUUGGGAAACAGUAUAUCCUCCUUUCCCUCUCACAGGACCCAGUAUAAAUAUUUUAGGGCAUUCCAGAAGGGAAAUGGAGGUACAUAUAUCUUAUAUACACACCUAGUUGACAAGGAUAAUGUUUUACGAUUGUCUGAACUAGAGGGAGGGAGGGAAGAAAGGAAGGAAGAAGGGAAGGAAGAAGGUAGGAAGGGAAGUAGUGAGAGAAGUGAGGAAGGGAGUGAGGAAGAGAAGAAGGGAGGAAGAGAGGAAGAGAGGAAGGAAGCAAGCAAGCAAACAAGAAAAAUAAUGCAUGCUUUUAUAGAAAACAGAAAAUCUUCAGUUAUCCAUUUUCUAUCAAGUGACCCAUGUAGCGUUUAAAGAAAAGCAAGCAUUUAUGUAUACAGAGUUACAUUACAAAAAGCAUAAAACCAUGGAUGGUGGGAUCCAAGCUUGAGUAAACAAUGCAGAAAACUGGAAGAAGGGAUCAAAAAAGAAGAGGAACUCUUUUGGAUAGUCCAGUGAAAUGUUACUUGGACACUUCAUGCAUCACAGCAAUUUCAAUGAGAAUGGAGGAGAUAUCCCCACAGGAGUCACAGCAUAACUUGCCGGCACCUAGGCUUCUCCCUUCUCUGCCUGGUUCCCCUGCUCCCAUGCAGCCUGGGCAGCAGGCUCGCUUGCGCUGCCCACUGCCCUGCAGCCAAAGUCCUUGGUGACGAUGGCAGCACUGGCCAGCUGAGCUCCUGCACGGUUGCUCCCCUCCUUGCCCCAUGACCCCUGUUGACCGCCUAACUGGAUAAGAGCAAUGGAAGGGCUUCACUGUGAGCCCAGGCUGGAGAAUAUAAAGCUCAAAAAGUUUUGAAAAUUGGGUAGACUAUUGGAGCACCAGUGAAGAGAUAUGGAGGAGCUUAGAUGUGGGCAAGCAUCUGGAAAACAUAUAGAUGAGGCUUUCUAAAAAAUUGAUUAAAAGAAAAAUCUAAGCUGCACACAAGGAGAAGCUCCUAUUUCUCCUUUCUGCUACUAAGAAUUUUUCCAACGUCUCACCUUUGGAAUGUGGCCAGAAUUCAUUUUGCUGGUAAAGAACAAGUAGUAUUUUCGGUAGCAGUCUGGCUAAGUACGUUUACUCCUCCUUACCAUUAAAUGGAUCUUCACACGUGAUGUCUAAAGGAACGUCCUUGAGAUCUGGCCAGCAGGAUCUUUGGAGCAGACUGAGGUGCCGCUUUUGGAGAAAUUAACGUCAAGCAGAUGGAGUCUGUGAUUUACACAGAUGUGCUUUGCACCUGAAUACUCCUCGUGUGCAGUGGAGGAGGGAUCUCCAGCCCCAUUUCUCCUGCCAGCCUCAUCCUCAUCCCCGUCUCUUCUCAUUACUUAAAGAACCCGGUCUCCUGUGUUUUCUCUGCUCUUUAUUCCAUGUCGCCGGAGCUGAGUGACUGCUGAAGAUGAGAGCAGAUGAAGAGUGUGAAGAGGGAAGCUUCUGCCUUUGGUCUGAGUCUGAUGGGGAAUGAUGAAAAACACAUGGGCUAUGAAAAAGUCCAGUCCAACUUUCUGUUUACUGAGCUCCCUAGAAACGUCAACAUCUGUCACCAAGUAACCCCUAAAAGGGGCACCCCCUUGCUACAGGACCCUGAUGGCAGGUCCCAUCCCUCUUCUCCAAGCACAGCCUGGAGCUGAGGGGUGUUGACAGAGAGAAAGGGAGGUUAUCGGGAUUUGGUGAUAGGUGUAUUAAUAGACAAAGGAGACCAGAAGUGAUGCCCCUCGCUCAUCUGGGUGAUGCCACCCCAGGAAGAGUGAGCAGGGCUGCAGCCUCCCAGCCGCCUCGCGUAAAGCCGGCAGGGUGGCAUGGCCCCGCCGGUGCCCCGGCCCCGCUCCCGGGCCGGGGACCCGCUGCCCCGUUCCCUGUCGGGUCCCCUCCCGCCUGCCCCGGGGGGCAGCUGGGACCCCCCUGCCUGCCCGCCUUCGGAGGGGACUGAGGGGAGCAGCCUCCGGGUGCUGAGGGGGCCGAGCGCCGGGGACCGGCUGGCGGCAGGCGCCGCCGCGGCCGCUGUUCCCGUGCACCGCUCCCCUCCGCGCCCCGCGCUGCCCCCGGCCGCGAGGAGCUCCUGUUCCCUUUUCCAGCGUGCGGGUUUCGGGUAUCUCCGGCUCGGCUCCGGGCGAGCCGUUUGCCAGCGCGCGUAUUUUACGCGCAGACCCGAGCCUGUAUUUAUUACGCUGCAUUUAUUGACAGUCCGCGCGGCGCUAUUUGCGCCGCUUAGCGAGCGGUCCGCAGGAGGUGCGUGCGAACGAGCGGCCCGGGCCCCGCGCGGACCCGCGGCCGCGGACGGCGCGGCAGGUCCGCUCCGCGCCCGCGGGGCCGAGCCGCCUCGGCGGGGCUCUGCGUUACCGUGGGGCGCGCAACGAAAUUUCGUUAUGUGAGUCCUUCGCCGAAGAUCAGAACCGAGGCGGCUGUGAAUGCAAUCGAUCCCUACAAAAUACGUUAAGCGAAACAUUCAAUUAAAGCACAUAUUUCCUUGGGCUUA